rnacentral:rRNA from 1 species
AAACCGCAUGGUUUUGAUUUGAAAGGCGCUUUCGGGUGUCGCUGAUGGAUGGACCCGCGGUGCAUUAGCUAGUUGGUGAGGUAACGGCUCACCAAGGCCACGAUGCAUAGCCGACCUGAGAGGGUGAUCGGCCACAUUGGGACUGAGACACGGCCCAAACUCCUACGGGAGGCAGCAGUAGGGAAUCUUCGGCAAUGGACGAAAGUCUGACCGAGCAACGCCGCGUGAGUGAAGAAGGUUUUCGGAUCGUAAAACUCUGUUGUUAGAGAAGAACAAGGAUGAGAGUAACUGUUGAUACUCUUGACGGUAUCUAACCAGAAAGCCACGGCUAACUACGUGCCAGCAGCCGCGGUAAUACGUAGGUGGCAAGCGUUGUCCGGAUUUAUUGGGCGUAAAGCGAGCGCAGGCGGUUUCUUAAGUCUGAUGUGAAAGCCCCCGGCUCAACCGGGGAGGGUCAUUGGAAACUGGGAGACUUGAGUGCAGAAGAGGAGAGUGGAAUUCCAUGUGUAGCGGUGAAAUGCGUAGAUAUAUGGAGGAACACCAGUGGCGA